rnacentral:lncRNA from 1 species
AAUAAUGAGUACUUAUAAAGUGAUUUUUCUUCUUACACUCUCACAGUGAUUGAUGGGGAAACUGAGGCACAUGGGACUUGCCCAAACUCAAAGCAUGGUGGUUCCCUAAGGAUGGGUCCAGUCUAGAAAACAGAAGGAAAACCAUCACUCUGCUGGGUUCUUGUUGUUUGUUUUCUGUUGGUUGUUUUGUUUUUUUCCCCCAGCUCUCAGUGGCUGAAACAACUUGAUGCUGUUGCUGUCAGACACAGAACGAAGGCGUAACCUUGCUAUUCUUUGCCCAGCAGGUUUGGAGUUUGAACAGAGUGAAAUCUUCUGAUAAGCCCAAGAGCAGAUGGAAUCAGUGUCUGAAAGUGCACCACAAUAAACGUGGAUGGGGCUUUUCCCAACAUCUCAGAGGAGCUCCAACAGCCAUGCAGCCCUUGCAUCGUAGCUUGCAGCACUUCUUGCUGCAGCAAGCAGGCUGGUUUGAUGUUUAAUGUGGAACCACUCCUACUUCCUGGACGCAGCAAACCCAAAUAACUCAGAAUUGCUGACGUGGCCCUUUAAGCUCCUGCAGCUGAGGUGGGAAUGGCGUGAGCACCAGUAUCAGCCUGGGAGGAAAUAUAACACCAGCAUUGAGAAGAAUGUCAAGAAAACACUGGCAGCAAGUUGGAUUAGCUUUUCACUCUGCAAGGAAAAAGCAGCCUGAAAUUCAGGAUGUUUAAGUUCAAAGUACAUCAAUUAUUAUGGGAAAUACGACUUUUGUUUCUAACUAACUGGUAUGCACAAUUUGAAUAGAGGUGGCUUCUUCAUUCUGCACUGGCAAACUGCUGAAGUGGAUAUCAGCAAACGGC